rnacentral:rRNA from 1 species
GAAUCAUUCACAAUGGGCGCAAGCCUGAUGGUGCGACGCCGCGUGGGGGAUGACGGUCUUCGGAUUGUAAACCCCUGUCACCGGGGACAAAACGUUGUCUGUGAACAGCAGAUGACCUGAUUUAACCCGGAGCGGCAGCAGUGGCUAACUCUGUGCCAGCAGCCGCGGUAAUACAGAGACUGCAAGCGUUGUUCGGAUUUACUGGGCGUAAAGGGUGCGCAGGCGGCCGGAUGUGUCGGGUGUGAAAUUUCGAGGCUCAACCUCGAGACUGCGCUCGAAACUAUCCGGCUAGAGUAUUGGAGAGGGAGGCGGAAUUCACGGUGUAGCAGUGAAAUGCGUAGAUAUCGUGAGGAACACCAGUGGCGAAGGCGGCCUCCUGGACAAUUACUGACGCUCAGGCACGAAAGCGUGGGGAGCAAAAGGG